ACGAACGCUGGCGGCGUGCUUAACACAUGCAAGUCGCACGGAAAGGCCCUGCUUUUGUGGGGUGCUCGAGUGGCGAACGGGUGAGUAACACGUGAGUAACCUGCCCUUGACUUUGGGAUAACUUCAGGAAACUGGGGCUAAUACCGGAUAGGAGCUCCUGCUGCAUGGUGGGGGUUGGAAAGUUUCGGCGGUUGGGGAUGGACUCGCGGCUUAUCAGCUUGUUGGUGGGGUAGUGGCUUACCAAGGCUUUGACGGGUAGCCGGCCUGAGAGGGUGACCGGCCACAUUGGGACUGAGAUACGGCCCAGACUCCUACGGGAGGCAGCAGUGGGGAAUAUUGCACAAUGGGCGGAAGCCUGAUGCAGCAACGCCGCGUGCGGGAUGACGGCCCUCGGGUUGUAAACCGCUUUCGCCUGUGACGAAGCGUGAGUGACGGUAAUGGGUAAAGAAGCACCGGCUAACUACGUG
rnacentral:rRNA from 1 species